rnacentral:rRNA from 1 species
GAGUGAUCAGAAGUGAGAAUGUUGACAUGAGUAGCGACAAACAGGGUGAGAGACCCUGUCGCCGAAAGUCCAAGGGUUCCUGCUUAAAGCCAAUCUGAGCAGGGUAAGCCGGCCCCUAAGGCGAGGCCGAAAGGCGUAGUCGAUGGGCACCAGGUUAAUAUUCCUGGGCCAGGAGAUGGUGACGGAUCCCAAAGGUAGUUCGAUCUUAACGGAUUGAUCGGGCUGCUCAGGGGUUCCUGGAAAUAGCCCUCCACAAGACCGUACCCUAAACCGACACAGGUGGACUGGUAGAGAAUACCAAGGCGCUUGAGAGAACCACAUUUAAGGAACUCGGCAAAAUACCUCCGUAAGUUCGCGAGAAGGAGGCCCGGUUGCUGCGCAAGCAGUGGCUGGGGGCACAAACCAGGGGGUGGCGACUGUUUACUAAAAACACAGGGCUCUGCGAAGCCGUAAGGCGACGUAUAGGGUCUGACGCCUGCCCGGUGCCGGAAGGUUAAAAGGAGAUGUGCAAGCAUUGAAUUGAAGCCCCGGUAAACGGCGGCCGUAACAAUAACGGUCCUAAGGUAGCGAAAUUCCUUGUCGGGUAAGUUCCGACCUGCACGAAUGGCGUAACGACUUCCCCGCUGUCUCAAAUGUGGACUCAGCGAAAUUGAAUUGUCUGUGAAGAUGCAGACUUCCCGCGGUUAGACGGAAAGACCCCAUGCACCUUUACUAUAGCUUCGCACUGGCAUCAGGAUUGUGAUGUGCAGGAUAGGUGGUAGGCAUUGAAACCGGGACGCCAGUUCCGGUGGAGCCAUCCUUGAGAUACCACCCUUCGCACUCUUGAUGUCUAACCGCGGCCCGUUAUCCGGGUCCGGGACCCUGCGUGGUGGGUAGUUUGACUGGGGCGGUCGCCUCCCAAAGAGUAACGGAGGCGCGCGAAGGUUGGCUCAGAGCGGUCGGAAAUCGCUCGUUGAGUGCAAUGGCAGAAGCCAGCCUGACUGCAAGACUGACAAGUCGAGCAGAGACGAAAGUCGGCCAUAGUGAUCCGGUGGUCCCGAGUGGAAGGGCCAUCGCUCAACGGAUAAAAGGUACGCUGGGGAUAACAGGCUGAUGGUGCCCAAGAGUCCAUAUCGACGGCAUCGUUUGGCACCUCGAUGUCGGCUCAUCUCAUCCUGGGGCUGGAGCAGGUCCCAAGGGUAUGGCUGUUCGCCAUUUAAAGAGGUACGUGAGCUGGGUUUAGAACGUCGUGAGACAGUUCGGUCCCUAUCUGCCGUGGUGUAGGAUACUUGAGAGGAGUUGCCCCUAGUACGAGAGGACCGGGGUGAACGUUCCACUGGUGGACCAGUUGUCGUGCCAACGGCAGUGCUGGGUAGCUAUGAACGGACAGGAUAAACGCUGAAGGCAUCUAAGCGUGAAGCCCCCCUCAAAACAAGGUAUCCCUUGAGAGCCGUGGAAGACCACCACGUCGAUAGGCCGGAGAUGUAAGUGCAGUAAUGCAUUCAGUUGACCGGUACUAAUGGCUCAA